GAGGAGGGGGGCCUCAGGGCCUGAAAAAGAUUGUGGAUUGAGAAUUAAUGAAAUUAACCUAAUCUUUUCCAUUCGGCAGCCCCCGCGCGGCCCCGGCCUUGCUGGGCGGGCGGCCUAAUUGCCCAGGUUAAUCUUAUUAAUACUAUUGUCCUGCCGCCGUUAACAACUCCGCCGCCGACCUCUCCGCCCCGACCCUUUUCUCUCUAUUAUGGGGUGCGAUUUCCUAUGGUUGUAGCUCAAAUUCAUUGUGGCUAAUUUUACUUUAGAACUUUUUACUCCCUUUCGGAAUCUGUUUGCUUUUAAGAAAUGAGGGUGGCUGUGUCCUCCCUCAACUGAGACUGAAAAUUCCCCCCACAGCCAACCCUCACCCCUCCCCCGUGAACUCGCUGCCUAAUUUCACCCCCCACCCCGUCUCUUUCCCAAAAUCUUUUGUUUUUGCGAAAGCCAAUUUUUCUCAGAGCUAAAACGGUGAAAGAAGAAACACGGCCGGCUUCGUAAAAGUUGUCUCUCUUUUUUUUUUUUCCUUAAAGCGGUCACUCUGGGUCUGAAACCACCCUGACUUUCCCUAGCUAACACAUCAGUGAGGAGCAAAUUCAGCCACUGUUUAAAAUUCGCCACGGAGAGGAGCACUCUGAAGCGAUGCUUCCAGAGGCUUCCCGCGUGGGUGCCGCGAGCUCCCCAAAAGGCCUCUAGCUAUCUUUCCAGGCCCACUCUGGCCUCUGUGGGACCCCAGCGGCCUGGACCAGAGUCGGGCCACUGCGGGCGGCCCUGAUGAUUUGCGGGAUUCUCCGUGAGGCACGGUCGAACCGUGGGAGGCGCAGCCAACCUAGAUCUACGCGCAGGCGGCUGGGCGACCUCCGGGAAGGUAAACGAUUCUCUGCGCAGAACGAAAGCAGAGGCCAGAAGUCGCGCGUCCCUGGUGCCAGCCCCGGAAUUGCAGAGCAGUCCAUCGUCCCGGCCAUCGCUCCAGCUGCUUCAGGCGAGACCUGGGUAGAGGACUCCCUGGAGGUCCAAGGCAUUUGUGGAGAUUCGUCUCUCACUGAUAAGCUAAGAUAGCUUCAACGCCGUCUUAAAGUCGUACAAUAAAUGCUAAGUCCUCCCGGCACAGGAGGAGACACCC